GAAAUGCGAUAAGUAAUGCGAAUUGCAGAAUCCGUGAGUCAUCGAAUCUUUGAACGCACAUUGCGCCCUUUGGUAUUCCGAAGGGCAUGCCUGUUCGAGCGUCAUUAUCACCCCUCAAGCCCGGCUUGGUGUUGGACGUCUAGCCAGUCUCUCAGGAGCCGGCUCGCCCCAAAGAUAAUGACGGUGGUCUGUGAAGUCACCAGUACGACGAGCCCCUGGGCAUGUACUGUUCUCGAGUUCCAGCGCCGGUCUCGCUCACGACGUGAGCACUCUUUUUCUGAAAGGUUGACCUCGGAUCAGGUAGGGAUACCCGCUGAACUUAA
rnacentral:misc_RNA from 1 species